CCUACGGGAGGCAGCAGUGAGGAAUAUUGGUCAAUGGGCGGAAGCCUGAACCAGCCAAGCCGCGUGAGGGAAGAAGGUACAGCGUAUCGUAAACCUCUUUUGUCAGGGAACAAAAACGGGGACUAGUCCCCGGAUGAGGGUACCUGAAGAAAAAGCAUCGGCUAACUCCGUGCCAGCAGCCGCGGUAAUACGGGGGAUGCGAGCGUUAUCCGGUUUUAUUGGGUUAAAAGGGUGCGAAGGCGGCCUGUUAAGUCAGCGGGAAAAGCCCGGGGCUAAACCCCGGCGAGCCGUUGAAACUGGCGGGCUGGAGUGGGAGAGAGGCACGCGGAAUGCGCGGUGUAGCGGUGAAAUGCUUAGAUA
rnacentral:rRNA from 1 species